rnacentral:rRNA from 1 species
CCUACGGGGGGCUGCAGUGGGGAAUAUUGGACAAUGGGCGCAAGCCUGAUCCAGCAAUGCCGCGUGUGUGAAGAAGGCCUGCGGGUUGUAAAGCACUUUAAGCAGGAAAGAAGGGGUGAAAGUUAAUACCUUUCAUCAUUGACGUUACCUGCAGAAUAAGCACCGGCUAACUCCGUGCCAGCAGCCGCGGUAAUACGGAGGGUGCGAGCGUUAGUCGGGAUUGCGGGGCGUAAUGCACGCGUCGGCGGUGAAAGCCCUGGGCGUAACCUGGGAAAUGCGGUGGAGACUGUCGGGCUAGAGUGUGGUAGAGGGGAGUGGAAUUUCCGGUGUAGCAGUGAAAUGCGUAGAGAUCGGAAGGAACACCAGUGGCGAAGGCGGCUCCCUGGACUAACACUGACGCUGAGGUGCGAAAGCGUGGGGAGCAAACAGGAUUAGAUACCCGUGUAGUC